GCCGUAUCCAAUGGAGUUCAAUAUUUUAUUCAAGUUUGGUGGUUGAAUAAGGAGAGGUGUUUAGAGGAGAAUCAGCUGAAGCGGGCAAAUUGAUUGUUUCUGUCCCUACCAAAAUAUCAGACACUCCUGCAGGGUCCUGAACUAGCCGAGAAACAAGACGACGUGAAUAGUGACCUGGAUAGAAAGUACCCUCCACCUUUUUCUUGGCCGGAAUCUGUUCUCUACCCAGAGAGGCGGAGUCAGCUGUCAAGGCCAUAUCCGCAUAAUGUUAGAG